rnacentral:rRNA from 1 species
UACAGAGGUCCCAAGCGUUGUUCGGAUUCAUUGGGCGUAAAGGGUGCGUAGGCGGCGCGGUAAGUCGGGUGUGAAAUCUCGGAGCUUAACUCCGAAACUGCAUUCGAUACUGCCGUGCUUGAGGACUGGAGAGGAGACUGGAAUUUACGGUGUAGCGGUGAAAUGCGUAGAUAUCGUAAGGAAGACCAGUGGCUAAGGCGGGUCUCUGGACAGUUCCUGACGCUGAGGCACGAAGGCCAGGGGAGCAAACGGG